rnacentral:rRNA from 1 species
AACGUAGGACCCAAGCGUUAUCCGGAAUCACUGGGCGUAAAGAGUUGCGUAGGUGGCAAAGUAAGCAAGCAAUGAAAGCGUGUGGCUCAACCAUACAGCUAUUGUUUGAACUACUUAGCUUGAGCAUAGUAGAGGUAGCUGGAAUUUCUAGUGUAGGAGUGAAAUCCGUAGAUAUUAGAAGGAACACCGAUGGCGUAGGCAGGCUACUGGGCUAUUGCUGACACUAAGGCACGAAAGCGUGGGGAGCGAAUGGG